AGUGAACGCUGGCGGUAGGCCUAACACAUGCAAGUCGAACGGCAGCACAGUAAGAGCUUGCUCUUACGGGUGGCGAGUGGCGGACGGGCGAGGAAUACAUCGGAAUCUACUUUUUCGUGGGGGAUAACGUAGGGAAACUUACGCUAAUACCGCAUACGACCUACGGGUGAAAGCAGGGGAUCUUCGGACCUUGCGCGAUUGAAUGAGCCGAUGUCGGAUUAGCUAGUUGGCGGGGUAAGGCCCACCAAGGCGACGAUCCGUAGCUGGUCUGAGAGGAUGAUCAGCCACACUGGAACUGAGACACGGUCCAGACUCCUACGGGAGGCAGCAGUGGGGAAUAUUGGACAAUGGGCGCAAGCCUGAUCCAGCCAUACCGCGUGGGUGAAGAAGGCCUUCGGGUUGUAAAGCCCUUUUGUUGGGAAAGAAAAGCAGCAGGUUAAUACCCCGCUGUUCUGACGGUACCCAAAGAAUAAGCACCGGCUAACUUCGUG
rnacentral:rRNA from 1 species